UACGAAGGGGGCUAGCGUUGCUCGGAAUCACUGGGCGUAAAGGGCGCGUAGGCGGCCGAUCAAGUCAGGGGUGAAAGCCUGUGGCUCAACCACAGAAUUGCCUUUGAUACUGUUUGGCUCGAGACCGGAAGAGGUUGGUGGAACUGCGAGUGUAGAGGUGAAAUUCGUAGAUAUUCGCAAGAACACCAGUGGCGAAGGCGGCCAACUGGUCCGGUUCUGACGCUGAGGCGCGAAAGCGUGGGGAGCAAACGGG
rnacentral:rRNA from 1 species